AACGCACAUUGCGCUCUCUGGUAUUCCGGAGAGCAUGCUCGUUUCAGAAUCAUAAACAUCUCUCAAACUACUCGUUCGGAUGGCAACAUCCUUUCGGGCGGUUUGGAUGUGGGCCCGACGAUUCCUUACGGUUUCAGGGACCCGAAAAUGAUUGUGUGCGCCGCGGAUCGUAACAGAUCGACUGGCUCAAGUGCAACAGAUGGUCAAACUCAUAUGUUAACGCUUGCGGUCGGGAGAAGGUUGCCUCUGCGUACGCGCUCACCCAAACCCAACAUAUCCUUGCAGUCUCGCUUGGCGAGUCGGCAAAGAAACUUGGUCUGAAAUCGAGUAAGAAAACCCGCUGAACUUAA
rnacentral:misc_RNA from 1 species